UAGAAGACUGCCUUUCCUGGCGCCAGCUGUGACCAAUUAUUACUUAAGAGAAACAGUUAACAACCGCCUGAGCAUCACCUGAUGCUUGCCCAACACUCUGGUGUGUGUGUGUGGGGAGGCCCUCUCCUGUCCUACGCAUGCCUGACUAGCUACCCACUGUAACAUUUUCCCACUCAAGAGUCCAAGACCCCAAAUCUUCGGAAGAAAAUGGAUGAAGGUCCCUUGGAGAUCUUAUUUAACUUGAAAUUUUCCUAGCAAAAGAAUUUUAAAGAAAGUAAUGCUGAGUAAAGCCAAAGAUCAGGAUGGAAAGGACUUGAGACUUUAUCUAGCAUUUUUGGAGAGAGAGCUGUGUUUUUAAAACCCAGCAGUGGGAGAAUCUACUUUAAGACUGGACUUUACGGCAAACUUAAGUUUGGGGGACCAAAGUUGUGAGCAAGUUUCUUUUCCAUUGUUGGGUGAUAAACAAUGUUAGUAUGUGAUAAUCAAACAACAAAUGAUAACUCAUACAGCACAAUAGUACACAAUGAUGUGAACCAGGGCAUUUAUGAUAAGCUGAGU
rnacentral:lncRNA from 1 species